CAGGGGUUCCAAAGGGACAGUAGAUCUCCAAAGAAAUAGGCUUCUUCUCAGCUUAGAGAAUCCACUCUCUCCUCUGCCUUCCCCAAGCCAGAAGUGAAGAUUCCAGGCAGAUCUUCAAGCUUCUGAUUCUCUCUUAGAAUUCUCAGUUUUUUCUUCUUCUUGGCCUUCCCCCACUCUCUUCAGCUAGUCUCUCUCAGAGACUGUUCUCUCCUUGAUGAAGAAUGUCUCUUCUCCCAUCUUACAUGAUACGAGGCCAUUUGACAUCAUCAAAGUCCUUUGGUACUAAAUCACUGGAUUUUAGUUUCAGAGAACAGAUGAGGAUCUUUGAAAUUACUAUGCAUUCACCAGAUAAAGCCUGAAAUGCCAGAGGAUGAAGCCAUGACAGAAAAGUUCAUUCUCCAACUUGGGUGCCAGAGGGGAGAAAGUUCUUCUGGUCUUCUUGGGUUGCAACUAAUUUCUGGAGCAUUUUGUUUCCUCUUAGUUAAAAAAGAAAGAGGCAGAAGAUGCGAAAGAGGUCUGACCUGUGGAUGAAAUGUUCUGCAUUACUUUCAAUCCAGUUUCCCACCUCUUCAAAUUGUCAUAUAUGUCCUGUGUACAAUUAUUAACAAAGGGAAUCUGACAGCUAUAAUGCCCUUGUCUGAUGUGAUUAAUGAUAGCAUAAGGUAGAGAUUUAGGAAAAGGUUUUGAUCCCUUUAGAGAGAGAAUAGUAACACGUUGCUGAUUCAGCAUAGGCUGAAGUGUUUGGAGGAGGUGGCAAAGAACAGACACGUAAACUCUAUGGAAUCCCAUAAACAAGGGAGGGAUAUUAAUAUAUGUCUAAGCAAGUACACAUUUUCCAUAAAUAAGAGAACAUAUGAGUAGAG
rnacentral:lncRNA from 1 species